rnacentral:rRNA from 1 species
AUGACCCUAUCAGAUGAGACUACCCGCUGAACUUAAGCAUAUC